rnacentral:rRNA from 1 species
AGCCGAUGCUUAUUCUUCAGGUACACGUCAUUUUGUUCCUCCCUGAAAAAAGAGGUUUACAACCCAUAGGCCGUCAUCCCUCACGCGAGAUUGCUCCGUCAGGCUUCCGCCCAUUGCGGAAAAUUCCCCA